GAUGAACGCUAGCGGCAGGCUUAAUACAUGCAAGUCGAGGGGCAGCGGGGGUAGCAAUACCUGCCGGCGACCGGCAAACGGGUGCGGAACACGUACAGAACCUUCCUUUAAGUGGGGAAUAGCCCGGAGAAAUCCGGAUUAAUACCCCGUAAUAUUAUGGAGUGGCAUCACUUUAUAAUUAUAGAUUUAUCGCUUAGAGAUGGCUGUGCGGCUGAUUAGGUAGUUGGUGUAGGUAACGGCUCACCAAGCCUGCGAUCAGUAACUGGUGUGAGAGCACGACCAGUCACACGGGCACUGAGACACGGGCCCGACUCCUACGGGAGGCAGCAGUAAGGAAUAUUGGUCAAUGGACGCAAGUCUGAACCAGCCAUGCCGCGUGAAGGAUGAAGGCCCUC
rnacentral:rRNA from 1 species